GAUGAAAGAUAAGCGAGUGGGAGGGGAAAGAAAAAUAGAGCAAUAACCAAGACCGCUGCCAAUAAGACCUAAAGAAACAACACCAAACGGCUGGCAAAGUACCCUGUGGCUUCUUUGAUAGUCCCUCAUCACAAGUAAUAAAACACCUCUUGAGUUGUUCUUCACCUACUGGUUGUAAAUCCUAAUGUAAAGCUGCCUGUGUUUCCCAGAGUCCUGGGGACCUCACAAAAGCCUCUGGUCUCCUAGAGUCCAGCCUGCCCAGCACGUGGAGGAGAUGGAGGAGCAGAAAGGAAGGUGACCUAUGUGUUGUUACCUCAACUUUUUGGAACAGCAAACAAAGCCAAGUGUACUCCUUAAAAGAAUUAUGUGAUCCCAGGGCAGGUUAAAAGGGGAGCUAUUGUAUGAGCAGAAGUACUGUAGAAGGACCAAUGGAAACCGGAGAAAGCGGCUGAGAACGGGAGCGUUGGUUGGGAAGGCAUCCUAGCAGAGCCCCUGGAGAAGAACUGAAGCCGGCUUGUGCGGUCACUUGGAGUACACAGGUCGGUGGGGAUAUUGUGUGUCGCACCACACAUCUGCCACGGCUGCCAGAGUACAGUGGGACCUUGUUUCAGCACAGCCAUAUUAGUAACGUGUCUGGAAAAUGACUUUUGGCAAGGGGCAACUUAAACAGCUUUAUUCU
rnacentral:lncRNA from 1 species